rnacentral:lncRNA from 1 species
GUGCGGCAGGCGUCAGGCGGCAGGACCGCACGAGAGAAAGAGGUGAGGCGUCGUUUACUUCUCCCGUUCAUUGCGAUUGGCGAUUGUGGGAGGCGGUUCAAGAUUGAGAACCGGCCAACUGUGCGAACCGGUAAAGGCGUAAUCGAAGCCGAAACGACAAGAAAAAUAACAGAUUUUCAAGACUAUUUUGGGCCUAGGGGCCCUGAAAAUUGGGGGCCCUGUGCAGGCACGCUGGCCGCAUGCCCCUAG